rnacentral:rRNA from 1 species
UACGUAGGGUGCGAGCGUUGUCCGGAAUUAUUGGGCGUAAAGAGCUCGUAGGCGGUGUGUCGCGUCGGCCGUGAAAACCUGCAGCUUAACUGUGGGCUUGCGGUCGAUACGGGCAUCACUGGAGUUCGGCAGGGGAGACUGGAAUUCCUGGUGUAGCGGUGAAAUGCGCAGAUAUCAGGAGGAACACCGGUGCGAAGGCGGGUCUCUGGGCCGUAACUGACGCUGAGGAGCGAAACGCAUGGGGGAGCGAACAGGA